GUCUACGGCCAUACCACCCUGAAAGCGCCCGAUCUUGUCUGAUCUCGGAAGCUAAGCAGGGACGGGCUUGGUUGUACCUGGAUGGGAGACCGCCUGGGAAUACCAGGUGUUGUAGGCU
rnacentral:rRNA from 1 species